rnacentral:rRNA from 1 species
AUGCACGCUGGCGGCGUGCCUAAUACAUGCAAGUCGAGCGAACAGACGAGGAGCUUGCUCCUCUGACGUUAGCGGCGGACGGGUGAGUAACACGUGGAUAACCUACCUAUAAGACUGGGAUAACUUCGGGAAACCGGAGCUAAUACCGGAUAAUAUAUUGAACCGCAUGGUUCAAUAGUGAAAGACGGUUUUGCUGUCACUUAUAGAUGGAUCCGCGCCGCAUUAGCUAGUUGGUAAGGUAACGGCUUACCAAGGCAACGAUGCGUAGCCGACCUGAGAGGGUGAUCGGCCACACUGGAACUGAGACACGGUCCAGACUCCUACGGGAGGCAGCAGUAGGGAAUCUUCCGCAAUGGGCGAAAGCCUGACGGAGCAACGCCGCGUGAGUGAUGAGGGUCUUCGGAUCGUAAAACUCUGUUAUUAGGGAAGAACAAAUGUGUAAGUAACUAUGCGCGUCUUGACGGUACCUAAUCAGAAAGCCACGGCUAACUACGUG